ensembl:lncRNA
CCUGGUUCGCCAAUUAGUCUGGGUAUGAAGGCUCCAUUUUUACGACACCACAGGAGCGUGCUGUCUUCCCGUGUCGGAGUCUGGUUUUGACAACCCGUUUGGAGCUGGCACGUAGUUUUUACCCGUGUUUUACAAAGAAUACAUUUCCCCUUCGUGACGCUCUGGUUUUUGCCCCAGACCCAGUGCCUCGAGGAGGCCCGGCCCAGGAGUGCGGGGGGCCGGCGGCGGCGUGGCUACCCGGAUGGUGGUGGGGCUGGUUGCACUGGGCCUCUCACUUUCUCCUCCUCUUUUUCUUAGUUGCAUGUUUUUUGAUUUACAUUGUUUGUUGUGGAUGCGGCGCUGGAGGGAGGGAGGGCCAUGUCCUAGAGUUUGUCCCCCCCCUUUUCCCUUCUUAGCCCGCUGCAGCCUACGGCCCCAAUAGAAUCAAAUUUUCUUUUUAUUCUUUGACGACAUUCCCAGAGCUGACGGGAAUUAUUGAAAUGAAUUGUUUCGU